UCAUCUGGAGAGACACAGAAGGCUGGUCCCCUGAUGUCUCUUUCUCAUCCAGCACCUACCCACCUGACCCUGUCUGAACUGCAGAGUGUGGUUCGUCCUCCAUCACUUUACUUGUGAUUGAAGAAAGAGAAGAGGAUGAGAAUGAGAUCGGGUGACCAGCCCAACACCUUAUCAGUAUGUGUCUCUGAAAUUGCACCUGAGAGAUGUGUUCUGGGAAGAUGGUGGAGUAGGUCAAAUUUCCAGGCUCUCCAGAUUUCCUCCACAAACAGACAGAAAAUCACCAUGAGCAGUAAAAAUAAAGGGGUAAAACAGUUGUCCUCCUAAAACAUCUUGAGAGGACCUCUGAGAAGACUCCAGGGGCUGAGGAUUGGUCUGAGGGAGUUGUAAAUACCUCUAAGCAGAAUUCACUGAAUCAACAAACAGUUGGCCCUGAGGGAAGCAGUUUUCACCUCAAGAACCUUUACCUCACAGCCUCAGGAACUUUCACGUCACAAACUUCCAUCUAAAGAACAGUAGAUGAGAGGCAGAGCCAAAAAGAUGGCGCAAAGGCUCACCUGAGCUCUCCCCAAAUACUUUGUAAAAAC